rnacentral:tRNA from 1 species
UGCGGUGAGGACAAACGGCUAAGUUGCUUGGCUCAUAACCAAGAGAUAGUGGGUUCGAUUCCCACCACCGUAA